GUGAGGAAUAUUGGUCAAUGGACGAGAGUCUGAACCAGCCAAGUAGCGUGAAGGAUGACUGCCCUAUGGGUUGUAAACUUCUUUUAUAAGGGAAUAAAGUGAGGGACGUGUCCCUUUUUGUAUGUACCUUAUGAAUAAGGAUCGGCUAACUCCGUGCCAGCAGCCGCGGUAAUACGGAGGAUCCAAGCGUUAUCCGGAUUUAUUGGGUUUAAAGGGAGCGUAGGUUGACAUAUAAGUCAGCUGUGAAAGUUUACGGCUCAACCGUGAAAUUGCAGUUGAUACUGUAUGUCUUGAGUGUACAAGAGGUGGGCGGAAUUCGUGGUGUAGCGGUGAAAUGCUUAGAUAUCACGAAGAACUCCAAUUGCGAAGGCAGCUCACUGGGGUACAACUGACACUGAGGCUCGAAAGUGUGGGUAUCAAACAGGAUUAGAUACCCCUGUAGUCC
rnacentral:rRNA from 1 species